rnacentral:rRNA from 1 species
AACGAACGCUGGCGGCAGGCUUAACACAUGCAAGUCGAGCGCCCCGCAAGGGGAGCGGCAGACGGGUGAGUAACGCGUGGGAAUCUACCCAUCUCUACGGAAUAACGCAUGGAAACGUGUGCUAAUACCGUAUACGUCCUUCGGGAGAAAGAUUUAUCGGAGAUGGAUGAGCCCGCGUUGGAUUAGCUAGUUGGUGGGGUAAAGGCCUACCAAGGCGACGAUCCAUAGCUGGUCUGAGAGGAUGAUCAGCCACACUGGGACUGAGACACGGCCCAGACUCGUACUGGAGGCAGCAGUGGGGAAUAUUGGACAAUGGGCGCAACCCUGAUCCAGCCAUGCCGCGUGAGUGAUGAAGGCCCUAGGGUUGUAAAGCUCUUUCACCGGUGAAGAUAAUGACGGUAACCGGAGAAGAAGCCCCGGCUAACUUCGUGCCAGCCGCCGCCGUAAUAC